rnacentral:hammerhead_ribozyme from 1 species
AUUCAGCUGACGAGUCCCACAUAGGAGGAAAUGCGCAUUCUGAAA